rnacentral:rRNA from 1 species
GACGAACCGUGCGAACGUUAUUCGGAAUCACUGGGCUUAAAGCGCGUGUAGGCGGAUCGCCGCGUCGGCUGCUGAAAUCCCCCGGCUCAACCGGGGAACGGGCACCGAUACGGGCGGUCUCGAGGGGGGUAGGGGGGUCUGGAACUUCCGGUGGAGCGGUGAAAUGCGUUGAGAUCAGAAGGAACGCCCGUGGCGAAAGCGAGGCCCUGGACCCUUACUGACGCUGAGACGCGAAAGCCAGGGGAGCGAACGGG